GGCAGAGGGAGCCCGGCUCCCGUGCCGCGAGGCAUGAGGAAAGUCCCCCCACCAGUCGGGCGGGCGGCCGGACGCAAGUCCGGGACGGGAGACCGUCGGCACUGGAACAGAGACGACACGUCCCUCCCCGACCGAUGAGGCGUGCGACCCGACCCGGAAGGGAAGGAAGCUAACCCGCCGAGGGUCGCGUGGUCGGCUGAUGCCGACCACGUUACGAGCGAGCGGCGCCAGCCGCGAGCCACCGUGAACGGCGCAAGCCGUUCACCAGACGGGAGGGGACCGAUGGAACGGCCAAUCCCCGCCGGUGCAAGUCCGCGUGCGCAAGGUAGCCCGACGCUAUCCGAGAGGAUGCCGCGCGGACGCUCAGCCGAAUGCCGGGCCGAACAGAAGGGGGCUUACUCCCCUCAGCU
rnacentral:RNase_P_RNA from 2 species